rnacentral:rRNA from 1 species
GACGAACGCUGGCGGCGUGCCUAAUACAUGCAAGUCGAGCGGACUUGAUGAAGUGCUUGCACUUCUGAGAGUUAGCGGCGGACGGGUGAGUAACACGUAGGUAACCUGCCUGUAAGACUGGGAUAACAUUCGGAAACGGAUGCUAAUACCGGAUACGCGUUUCUAUCGCAUGAUGGAAACGGGAAAGACGGAGCAAUCUGUCACUUACAGAUGGACCUGCGGCGCAUUAGCUAGUUGGUGAGGUAACGGCUCACCAAGGCGACGAUGCGUAGCCGACCUGAGAGGGUGAUCGGCCACACUGGGACUGAGACACGGCCCAGACUCCUACGGGAGGCUG